AUUGAACGCUGGCGGCAGGCCUAACACAUGCAAGUCGAGCGAGCGGCGGACGGGUGAGUAAUGUAUGGGGACUGCCCGAUAGAGGGGGAUAACUACUGGAAACGGUGGCUAAUACCGCAUACCGUCAGAUUGCCCAGAUGGGAUUAGCUAGUAGGUAAGGUAACGGCUUACCUAGGCGACGAUCCCUAGCUGGUCUGAGAGGAUGAUCAGCCACACGGGAACUGAGACACGGCCCAGACUCCUACGGAGGCAGCAGUGGGGAAUAUUGCACAAUGGGCGCAAGCCUGAUGCAGCCAUGCCGCGUGUAUGAAGAAGGCCUUAGGGUUGUAAAGUACUUUCAGCGGGGAGGCGUUACCGGCAGAAGAAGCACCGGCUAACUCCGUGCCAGCAGCCGCGGUAAUAC
rnacentral:rRNA from 1 species